GACGUAGGAUGCGAGCGUUGUUCGGAUUUAUUGGGCGUAAAGCGUACGUAGGCGGCUUUUUAAGUCUGGUGUUAAAGCUAGGGGCUCAACCCCUGUGUUGCACUGGAAACUGGGAAGCUUGAGUGUGGUAGGGGAAGGUGGAAUUCCGAGUGUAGCGGUGAAAUGCGUAGAUAUUCGGAAGAACACCGGUGGCGAAAGCGACCUUCUGGGCCAUUACUGACGCUGAGGCACGAAAGCUUGGGGAGCGAACGGG
rnacentral:rRNA from 1 species